AGCCCCGCCUGGUACAAAAUCGGGACGCGUGUCGUUUGCAAAUUGUGGUCGUUGAUUGUAUUUCCUUUGAUCUAAACGGGUGGAAAGAGUUUGUGAACUUUGUAUCCUGGCCAUUGUUUAUAAGUGUGCCCGUAAGUGGUAGAUCGAGUGGAUAAGGAGUUUUGCUUGAGAGAAAAAUCUACACUGACAUUUAACAGGCUACAAGAGUACGGGUAGUCUAUAUUGAAGAACCCAGGCUCUUUACUGUCAACCAGUUAACCCAAAAAAAGUUUCUAUUCUUUUCAUAUUCACCCAUAAACCCAAGUUGAACUUCACAAAUGUGCUUCAUUGUCUCCUUUGUUCUCUCCCUCUUUAUUCUACUGGUCAUCUAAAGGUGAGGGUUGGAGUUUCAAAAACAGUGGCGAGAAGGGUGGGAGGUGUUUAACGAUCGACUCUUUAGGAGUUCUCAACCAUUUUUGGGAAAUGACAAGAGGUAAUGUGUUUUGGUGAUGACUGGUAAUAUUUGAGAA